GACGAACGCUGGCGGCGUGCCUAAUACAUGCAAGUCGAGCGAAGUUUUUCUGGUGCUUGCACUAGAAAAACUUAGCGGCGAACGGGUGAGUAACACGUAAAGAACCUGCCUCAUAGACUGGGACAACUAUUGGAAACGAUAGCUAAUACCGGAUAACAGUAUUUCUCGCAUGAGAGAUAUUUAAAAGUUGGUUAUGCUAACACUAUGAGAUGGCUUUGCGGUGCAUUAGCUAGUUGGUGGGGUAAAGGCCCACCAAGGCGACGAUGCAUAGCCGACCUGAGAGGGUGAUCGGCCACACUGGGACUGAGACACGGCCCAGACUCCUACGGGAGGCAGCAGUAGGGAAUCUUCCGCAAUGGGCGAAAGCCUGACGGAGCAACGCCGCGUGAGUGAAGAAGGAUUUCGGUUCGUAAAGCUCUGUUGUUAGGGAAGAAUGGAUAUGUAGUAACUAUACAUAUAAGAGACGGUACCUAACCAGAAAGCCACGGCUAACUACGUGCCAGCAGCCGCGGUAAUACGUAGGUGGCAAGCGUUGUCCGGAAUUAUUGGGCGUAAAGCGCGCGCAGGUGGUUUAAUAAGUCUGAUGUGAAAGCCCACGGCUCACCGUGGAGGGUCAUUGGAAACUGUUAAGCUUGAGUGCAAGAGAGAAAAGUGGAAUUCCUAGUGUAGCGGUGAAAUGCGUAGAGAUUAGGAGGAACACCAGUGGCGAAGGCGGCUUUUUGGCCUGUAACUGACACUGAGGCGCGAAAGCGUGGGGAGCAAACAGG
rnacentral:rRNA from 1 species